rnacentral:rRNA from 1 species
AGUGAACGCUGGCGGUAGGCCUAACACAUGCAAGUCGAACGGCAGCACAGUAAGAGCUUGCUCUUACGGGUGGCGAGUGGCGGACGGGUGAGGAAUACAUCGGAAUCUACUUUUUCGUGGGGGAUAACGUAGGGAAACUUACGCUAAUACCGCAUACGACCUACGGGUGAAAGCAGGGGAUCUUCGGACCUUGCGCGAUUGAAUGAGCCGAUGUCGGAUUAGCUAGUUGGCGGGGUAAAGGCCCACCAAGGCGACGAUCCGUAGCUGGUCUGAGAGGAUGAUCAGCCACACUGGAACUGAGACACGGUCCAGACUCCUACGGGAGGCAGCAGUGGGGAAUAUUGGACAAUGGGCGCAAGCCUGAUCCAGCCAUACCGCGUGGGUGAAGAAGGCCUUCGGGUUGUAAAGCCCUUUUGUUGGGAAAGAAAAGCAGCAGGUUAAUACCCCGCUGUUCUGACGGUACCCAAAGAAUAAGCACCGGCUAACUACGUG